UACGUAGGUGACCAGCGUUGUCCGGAUUUACUGGGCGUAAAGAGCGCGCAGGCGGUCGUUCAAGUCGAAUGUGAAAGCCCCCGGCUUAACUGGGGAGGGUCAUUCGAUACUGCUCGGCUCGAAGACAGGAGAGGGAAGUGGAAUUCCCGGUGUAGUGGUGAAAUGACGUAGAUAUCGGGAGGAACACCAGUGGCGAAGGCGGACAUCCUGGACCGACACUGACGCUGAGGAGCGAAAGCCAGGGGAGCAAACGGG
rnacentral:rRNA from 1 species